rnacentral:misc_RNA from 1 species
GUGGGAGGGGGCUUGCUCCCGAUGGCAGUAGAUCAGUCAGUUAUGAGUAACCGAUCCACCGCUAUCGGGGGCAAGCCCCCUCCCAC